rnacentral:misc_RNA from 1 species
UGAACGUGCAUUGAAUACUACAAGUAACAAUGAAUACAGAAUACACACGAGAUAUGAGAGCAACUUAUUUCUAAAGUUUUAAUGGAGUUUGCGAUUGCAAGAUUGUACGUAGUGUAGACUUAGGCAGCAUUCGCUUCAUCGAUGACUUAAUCCCGUUUGGCAGCAAGAUGAGUGACUGGAAGGAAUUAUAUGACCAAGAAAGUUUGUGUCGCAAGUUUUGCUGUAUUCAUUCUUCGAAAUAAACUUCCUUUCCUUCCCUCUCUGGCACCAAAAGUGAUAAAUUGCCUUCAAGGAAAUGGUGCCACAAAAAGCAGGGAUCGCAGGAACAGUGAGCCAGCAAGCCGUAAAACUUCAAGAGUACAAAGCCAGAAGGAACAAGAAUAUUAUGGAUCCUCGAGGUGUUGUGAUUUUUGUGUGGCUGAUGACCUCCCCGUGGUGCUGUGCGGGUCAGAGAGCUGCUAGGAAGACCAAUGACGCUAACAAACUAUCCAUAGUGCCCCCAGGGUAUCUCCAGGAGCUCGCCCCGUGGCCUCAGGACGGGUCGCCACUCAUGAUAAACUUCAGCCUCAAAGUCAAUGCCAUCAUGGAGACGGACGAAAAACAGACGGCAGUGAUUCUCGACUCCUUCUUCCGAGUCAAGUGGAGCGACUGGCGCCUGAACUACCCAGAGGAGGAGGAGAGCGGGAAGGGAAGUGGUGGCGGCAGUGAUAAUGGGGAGGUGCGGCAUACGAUCGUGAACCCCGUGCUGCUGGAGGAGGUGUGGCUGCCUGACCCUUACAUCUUCAACGUGCGUGACAUCAGCACUGUGCGUCUCUUACUGAAAGAUGUGAGAGGAGUGGUGCUAUACUCCGACGGCACGCUCUUUGUCUCUAUUCUGACCAAGAUCCAUCUCGGAUGCUCCGCCAAGUUCUCGCGUUUUCCUUUCGACGAGCAGGAGUGUAGCCUGGCUAUCUACAGCUUCUUCCUUUGGUACGGUCUUCCGCUUCACCUGGUCACUGCCUUGCCAGACAUGUACGAGGCUCCGACCCUUGAGAUGCGCUGGCUGCCCAGCGGCUUGGUGGUGGACCCGAGAGUCAAGGACCAGCUCACUAACUUCGACUACACCUUCACCAUCGGCAACACCUCUUCCAACACCUGCCCCUGCUACAAGUGCAUUCCACCGGAAGCCCCCUGUGUGUACGCCACCCUGGUACUGACGAGGAAGGUCCUGGGUCACCUGCUGAGCACCUUCCUGCCCUCGGGACUGUUCGUGGCGGUGUCCUACGCGUCGCUUUUCUGGCCCGCUGACGUGAUUCCCGGCAGGACAGUGCUGGUCAUCACCUCGCUGCUCACACUUGUUUCCAUGCACACAGGCGUCAGCAUCAAGAAGCAGCACAAGGAGCCGGCGCCGGCAGUGAAGGAAGAGCCACCAUCCCGCACUGCACAUGUCCCGCCGUCAGCCAAGUCCAUCAAGACUGCCUUUGAGCUGAGUGUAGGCCGAGAGAAGGUGUCGCCGCUACAAGUGAAUCUGAAGACGAGGCAGAGCGCGCACAGGUGGUGGCAGGCGCUGAAGGAGGACAAGGUGGAGAAUAUCUUUAAAGUCCUGGCUCCUGUUGUGUUUCUGUUCUUCAACCUGGUCUACUGGCCGUAUUACCUAGUUUAUUAACACCUGGUCUCAUCCUCUUCCUUGAUACGCACACGCAACACCCAAACGACGAGCGGCGGUGCUGUGGCUUUGUGGGUGCAAGGGACUGCACAACGAGGCUCCUCCACUAUAGAACUAUACCACAACAUAUGACCUCGAUGCUGCGACGCCAUAAACUUCUAUCAAUCAGCCAUCAAUCCAUCACGACCUUCAAAUGCCUCAUCACCUUCCUCUUCGCUGCAGCUCAUAAUGUUCGUCUCUCUCCAACAUAUACAAUGAUAAGAACACUUUUCAGACUGAAUAAAAUCAUCUGCGUAUUGUUAGCUUACAGUAAACACGAAUGUGACUGUACUGGGUGAAUAACUACAGGGGAUUCCGGACUCCUUAGUAGCAAAAAUAUAACACAAGUCACGAUGCAUUUCUUAUCAUGAAUAAUUAAAAAAAAAUAAAUGAAAAAAGGAACAAAUAUGAUAGAAAAACAAUAGGUAUACAAGUAAAACAGACCUGCUAAUGACACUAUUAUGUAAUCUGUAUCAUAUCUCACGAAGCUUUGGAUAACUUGCCACUAAAAGGAAGGACUGAGACUGAUACAUCUAAACACAUUUCAUCAUUGACUUGUGGCACGUUAAAAGCAUCUAAGUAAAUAGCACAAAGGCAGUGCAUGCUUAUAUGUACGAGAUUUAUUUGUGCUUUAAGUACAAACAAACCAUAUCUGCAUAUGUUGCCUGAUACCGUAUUAGUUAUAACCGAGUGUCCAUUUGAAAAAAAAAAAAAAAAA